rnacentral:misc_RNA from 1 species
GAUGAAGAACGCAGCGAAAUGCGAUAAGUAAUGUGAAUUGCAGAAUUCAGUGAAUCAUCGAAUCUUUGAACGCACAUUGCGCCCGCCAGUAUUCUGGCGGGCAUGCCUGUUCGAGCGUCAUUUCAACCAUCAAGCCCCCGGCUUGUGUUGGGGACCUGCGGCUGCCGCAGGCCCUGAAAACCAGUGGCGGGCUCGCUAGUCACUCCGAGCGUAGUAAUACAUCUCGCUCAGGGCGUGCUGCGGGUUCCGGCCGUUAAAAAGCCUUAUUUACCCAAGGUUGACCUCGGAUCAGGUAGGAAGACCCGCUGAUCUUAAGCAUAUCAAUAAGCGGAGGA